rnacentral:lncRNA from 1 species
ACCGAUCUUGAGUCCUUUCCUUCAGAUCUUUCGAGUUUUUCACUAGUUUUCAUCUUGUUUUGAAGAUUUCCGAGUUUUGAGCAAGUUUUGGAGCUUUGAGGUUCAAGAACUCAAAAUCUUCCACCUCCGAGUUUAGGACGUCUCUCUCUCGAUCUUCAAGAGGUAAGAGCCAAUCUUAAGCUCAUUUCAUGUUUAAAGUAAGUUUUAUGCAAGAUCUAUGGGGUAGAAUGCAUGUUUAGCUCAUGGUUAGGUUUAUGGGUUUUAUUUGUGUUUUUGGACAAUGUGAGUUGCUUGUGUGUUGUAGUUGGGGUUUUGAUGGUUUGAUGCCCCUAGGAACUUGUAUGUUUACUUGUGUAUGAUUGAGGAAUGUUGUAGAAUAGGUUUAUGCAUGUUUGGAUGAGAUAGGAGGCAUAAAUGCAUAAGGGAGCUGAGUUUCUGCCAUUCUGGGAGAAACCAGGUUCGGCAGCCGAAGGAACUUUCGGCCGCCGAACAUGCUUGUGGAGACAGCCUUCGGCUGCCGAAGC